rnacentral:lncRNA from 1 species
AAUAAACAUAAUAUAAAAUAAUUAUGCAUUUCUAUAAAUUUAAACUAUUCGAGAAUAAUAUUCUAAUAAUAAUUGUUAGAACAAAUACCGCAUAUAAAUCUAAUUACGAUUAAAGAUCUAACUAAUUUUAUGACAAAGAUAAAAUCAGACUUACAAAUAAUUGCUAAAUCCAAAUAAAGAAUUUGAUCGAUCCGGAAGCGUGCGAGGCACUGCCAUAAGACGUAUUUUGGUCCUUAUGUGCGGGAUUAAUCGGGAAUAACACUCUAAGGUACGACCGGUAUUCCUCCUCCUACGAGCACGAUCGUGAAGGAGAUUGACGGAGACUCUUUCAAUACCCGAUAAUAAAAAGAAUCAAAUAAAUUUAAAAAAUAAUAAAAUUUUGUUCUCUUUCUUUUUCUACAAUA